AUAAAAGUUAUGCUUUGAACAGACAGAAGAACCCUUCACAAGAAAGAGAGUUGAAUGAAACUUCGACAGUGACACUCGUCACAAACGCCAUCAACGAUGAUUCUUUGUCUACAACUGUCAUUAUCGCUGUCUCUACCAUCAGCAUUGUUAUUAUGAUCAUCUCCAGUUUCGUCCGUGAUACUCAAAAGGUGUCGUCCCAGAUCCUACUUUCGACAAACCUACAAGUUCUCGCUACAAGAGCGGAACAGCGAACGAGCUAACAGAAAUGCAUUCCGAAGACCGGCAUCAGUAUGAUGUUCCUGAAAAUGUGGAAUACACUGACUGCAGAUCGCAGACUGUAGGGGAACAUUAGUCACGUGAUGAGCAGUCAGCCAAUACAAUGACGCAGGGCUGACUUUAAGCCCUCGCGUUGACGUCAGAUAUUUUUAGACUGUGUGCGAACGUCAGCGCCAGUCUGAUGCAUGCUAGUAUUUUUGCGAGUAACAAACGUAUCACGAACCAAAAAAAUCUCACACAUUCAUACACAUAUUCUCUCUCACUCUCUCUGUCUCACUCUCUCUCACACACAUAGAGAUAAACUGGCAGAUGGGAAGACAUUAUUAGAAAUCAGCUCCAAAAGUCGUCGUCGUCGUCGUCAUCAUCUCAUCAUCAUCAUCAUCAUCAUCAUCAUCAUCAUCAUCAUCAUCAUCAUCAUCAUCCGUGGCAUUAUUGUUGCAAUGUUCAUGCCUAAAUGUGUUUUUUUAUUUAUCAUACAUGUACGAGUUUUCAGACAAAAGUUUUCAUAAUAAUAUCUAUAGUACCUCGUUCUUUUCUAAACUGAUGAAUCUUUGUUUGCUGACUGCGCUUGAACCCAGCAAUAAAGGCGACAUAAUGAGGGAAUUU